AUUGAACGCUGGCGGCAUGCUUUACACAUGCAAGUCGAGCGGCAGCGCGGGGGCAACCCUGGCGGCGAGCGGCGAACGGGUGAGUAAUGCAUCGGAACGUACCCUGGAGUGGGGGAUAACGCCGCGAAAGCGGCGCUAAUACCGCAUAUGCUCUGAGGAGGAAAGUGGGGGACCGCAAGGCCUCACGCUCUGGGAGCGGCCGAUGUCCGAUUAGCUAGUUGGUGGGGUAAAGGCUUUACCCAAGGCGACGAUCGGUAGCUGGUCUGAGAGGAUGAUCAGCCACACUGGGACUGAGACACGGCCCAGACUCCUACGGGAGGCAGCAGUGGGGAAUUUUGGACAAUGGGGCAACCCUGAUCCAGCCAUGCCGCGU
rnacentral:rRNA from 1 species